rnacentral:rRNA from 1 species
UACGAAGGGCCCAAGCGUUAUCCGGAUUUAUUGGGUUUAAAGGGUGCGUAGGCGGGUUAUUAAGUCAGUGGUGAAAGCUCCAUGCCUAACAUGGAAAUUGCCAUUGAUACUGAUGAUCUUGAGUACAUUUGAAGUGGGCGGAAUGUGUCAUGUAGUGGUGAAAUACUUAGAUAUGACACAGAACACCGAUUGCGUAGGCAGCUCACUAAACUGUAACUGACGCUGAGGCACGAAAGCGUGGGGAGCAAACAGG